rnacentral:pre_miRNA from 1 species
CAACUACUCCCUCUGUCCCAAAUUUCUUGUCUUAGAUUUAUCUAGAUACGGAUGUAUCUAAUACUAAAAUGUGACUUGAUACAUCCGUAUCUAGACAAAUCUAAGACAAGAAUUUUGGGACGGAGGGAGUACUUC